GCCUGACGGAGCGACGCCGCGUGGAGGAAGAAGGCCUUCGGGUUGUAAACUCCUGUCACGACUUACGAAUCCGGUCGGGGUAACAUCCGACCGUCGACGAAGGGUCGGAAGGAAGCCACAACUAACUUCGUGCCAGCAGCUGCGGUAAGACGAAGGUGGCAAGCGUUGUUCGGAUUCACUGGGCAUAAAGGGCGCGUAGGCGGUUCCGAAGGUGGCGCGUGAAAUCCCCCGGCUCAACCGGGGAACGGCGCGCCAAACCGCGGUUCUUGAGGGCGGUAGGGGGUGCUGGAACUCUCGGUGGAGCGGUGAAAUGCGUAGAUAUCGAGAGGAACACCGGUGGCGAAGGCGAGCACCUGGUCCGCUUCUGACGCUGAGGCGCGAAAGCGUGGGUAGCAAACAGGAUUAGAUACCCUGGUAGUCCACGCCGUAAACGAUGGGCACUAGGUAGCGGCCGGAUCCGACCGGUCGCUGCUGACGGAAAUCCAUUAAGUGCCCCGCCUGGGGAGUAUAGUCGCAAGGCUGAAACUCAAAGGAAUUGACGGGGGUCGCUGCUGACGGAAAUCCAUUAAGUGCCCCGCCUGGGGAGUAUAGUCGCAAGGCUGAAACUCAAAGGAAUUGACGGGG
rnacentral:rRNA from 1 species